AUCGUCAAUCUGCUGCGGGCAGAUGAAAUGGAUAUGGCUGUCGAUCCCGCCUGCGGUCAAAAUCCGGCCCUCACCGGCAAUCGCCUCUGUCCCCGGUCCGAUGAUGAUGUUCACGCCCGGCUGGGUAUCAGGAUUGCCCGCCUUGCCGAUGGCCACAAUGCGCCCGUCUUUAAGGCCGACAUCCGCCUUGAUGAUGCCGGUCCAGUCCACGAUCAGCGCAUUGGUGAUGACCGUAUCCACCGCCCCCGCCGCCCGCGUGACCUGAGACUGCCCCAUCCCGUCGCGGAU
rnacentral:sRNA from 1 species